ensembl:lncRNA
CAGGAAAGUGGCAGCUUGGCAGAAGAAGAAUUUCCCUCUGGGAUUAAUACAGUAUCUAAAAUAAAAAAAUAAAAUAAAAAAGACCAACUCCUUGUUGUUGACACUUUUCAGUUCCUCUCUAACUACCACACAGCUUUACAAGUGCUACUAGUGAAGUAUUGGAAGCAUCAGACUUUUAAUCUGAGGGUCCAGGGUUCAAGUCCCUGUUUGGGCGGAACACUUUGUACUCCCUCUUGCUUGUACUCCCCUUCCCUCUCUGUUAAUGUGCUUGGACAGAGCUCUGUGAACAGCCAGCCUCUUUGUGUCUUGCCCUCCUUGUGCAAGGUGUCAAUGGUCGUCUUUUGGGCAACUGUCAAGUCAGCAGUCUUCCUGUGGUUGUGCAGCCUACAGAACUAGACUGAGACCAGAUGUAACAAAAUAAUGUAUUUCGCUAUUUUUAACAUCACAAUUUGUUACUGAGUACACUUAUUAUUUUGAAUAAUGACCGGCCUUUUCUUAACCAAUAAAGAUACCAGUUACAAACUGACCAACAUGGCUGACGUUUGACUGACUGACUGACAGUCCGUCCUAUGACAGCCAGGUGCACGGUCACUGAAGGGGACAUCUGAUUGGACCCUUGGACCUGAUAUAAAAACCGUGUGGCGCGAACGACGGUCAGACCCUCCUUCAUCAGCUUACGAGAGGUAAGGCCUGACAAUUGAUAACGGAGGAGAUGAGGCUGGAGAGGGAGGGAGAGAGGGGGGAGAGAGAGAGAGAGAGAGGGAGAGAGAGAGAGAGCAAGAGGGAGAGAGAGAGAGGGAGGGAGAGAGAGAGGGAGAGAGAGAGAGAGAGGGAGGGAGAGACAGGAGAGAGAGAGAGGGAGGGAGAGAGAGGGAGGGAGGGAGAGAGAGAGGGAGAGGAGAGAGCAAGAGAGAGGAGAGGGAGAGGGAGGGAGGGAGAGGAGAGAGCAAGAGGGAGAGAGAGAGAGGGAGGGAGAGAGAGAGGGAGAGGAGAGAGCAAGAGAGAGAGAGGGAGAGGGAGGGAGGGAGAGGAGAGAGCAAGAGGGAGAAAGAGAGAGGAGAGAGAGGGAGAGAGAGGAGAGGAGAGGGAGAGAGGAGAGAGAGGAGAGAGAGAAGGGGGGGGGGGGAGAGGGAGGGAGAGAGAGAGAGGAGGAGGAGAGAGCAAGAGAGAGAGAGGGGGGGAGAGAGAGAGAGAAAGAGGGAGAGAUAGAAAGGGAGGGAGAGAGGGAGAGGAGAGAGCAAGAGGGAAAGAGAGAGAGGGAGGAAGAGACAGGAGAGAGAGAGGGAGAGAGAGAGAGGGAGGGAGGGAGAGGAGAGAGCAAGAGGGAGAAAGAGAGAGGAGAGAGAGGGAGAGAGAGAGAGGAGAGGGAGAGAGGAGAGAGAGGAGAGAGCAAGAGAGAGAGAGGGGGGGAGAGAGAGAGAGAAAGAGGGAGAGAUAGAAAGGGAGGGAGAGAGGGAGAGGAGAGAGAGAAAGGGAGGGAGAGAGGGGGGAAAGAGGGAGAGAGGAGAGAGAGGGGGGGGAGAGGGAGAGAGGAGAGAGCAAGAGGGAGAGAGAGAGAGGGAGGGAGAGAGAGCGAGAGGGAGAGAGAGGGGGAGAGAGAGAGGGAGAGAGAGAAAGGGAGGGAGAGAGAGAGAGGGAGGAAGAGACAGGAGAGAGAGAGAGGGAGAGGAGAGAGAGAGCGAGGGGGGAGAGAGAGAAAGGGAGGGAGGGAGGGAGAGAGGGAGAGGAGAGAGAGAGAGGGAGAGCGAGAGGGAGAGAGAGGGGGGAGAGAGAGAAAGGGAGGGAGGGAGGGAGGGAGGGAGAGAGAGAGAGGGAGAGGAGAGAGCGAGAGGGAGAGGAGAGAGCGAGAGGGAGAGGAGAGAGAGGGAGGAGAGAGAGAGAGAGGGAGGGAGAGAGGGGGGAGAGAGGGAGGGAGAGACAGGAGAGGGAGAGAGGAGAGAGAGAGAGGGAGAGAGAGAGAGGGGGAGAGAGACAAGUCAUGUUACAAGUUGGGAGGCUGCCAGCAGGACAGUCCACAUACACUGCUGCUCUGUGAGAGCCAGAGGAGGAGGAGAUGGAUGUUACUCUGUCAUUGUGACAGACAGAGUAACCACGAUCAGAGCAGAACAGACUCCAGGACUGAUUGUUUCUUCCAAACAUGCAGUAAUCUCUGCCUCCUUUCCUUCUGACUCUUCUGUAACUCACUGAUAUAUUAACCACUCCUCUCCACUCGACCUCCCAGUAACAGCGACCAGUCAGAACAUUUCUACACAGCAGCUGAGGACACCAGUCAAAUCUGUCUGGAUGAUCAGGAUAUGGCUGCUUCUCUCUCACAUAUGUCACCUUCCUGUUGUUGUCAGACAGUUUGAGGUUUGUGUUCACUGAGUUUGUGUCGACUUCAAGUUGACAGAAAUCUGAUGGAGAGAAAAAGACACAGCUGCAGUUUAUCAUCUGACACAUCUGAUGGCUUCAUUCUGUCUUUACUGACUGAUGUGUUGUUCAUUCAUACAAAGUUUAUCAUCAGACUUUUUGUCACUAAUGUUUGAAUGAACAAACACACAACUAUCAGCUUUGUGUUCAAAC